UAUUUAAGAAUUGAAUGCUUCUUUUUGUAAAUUUAUUGGGGUGUAAAAGCGUUGACCGAAGUACAUUUUGUAUGAAGCGCGGAAGCGCUUCAUUCUAAAAAUGUACGCACGGUCAACACUUUUACAACCCUAUAAAGUUACAAAAAGAAGCAUUCAAUACUUAUAAUUACAUUUUUUAGCUAUGAUCACGAAAACACGAAUUUUAUAUAUUUUAUUAUUUAAUUCACCUGUGCACUUUAUUGUUGGAGCACGUGUUAUCAUGAAUGAAAAGUUGUAUUGAGCAUCAC
rnacentral:lncRNA from 1 species